rnacentral:rRNA from 1 species
GAUGAACGCCGGCGGCGUGCCUAACACAUGCAAGUCGAACGGAACUUCUUCGACAGAAUUCUUCGGAAGGAAGUUGAUUAAGUUUAGUGGCGGACGGGUGAGUAACGCGUGAGUAACCUGCCUUUGAGAGGGGAAUAACUUCCCGAAAGGGAUGCUAAUACCGCAUGAUGCAUAGAAGUCGCAUGGCUUUUAUGCCAAAGAUUUAUCGCUCAAAGAUGGACUCGCGUCCGAUUAGCCAGUUGGCGGGGUAACGGCCCACCAAAGCGACGAUCGGUAGCCGGACUGAGAGGUUGAACGGCCACAUUGGGACUGAGACACGGCCCAGACUCCUACGGGAGGCAGCAGUGGGGGAUAUUGCGCAAUGGGGGAAACCCUGACGCAGCAACGCCGCGUGAAGGAUGAAGGUUUUCGGAUUGUAAACUUCUGUUGUUGAGGAAGAUAA